GUUUUGAUAAUAUUUAUUCUGCUCAAAUAGUCAAACUUAUAAUGAACCUUGAGACUUUGUUACAAUGAACCGGUGGUCCGCUCUUCUCGCACUAAUUUGGAUCAUUUUUGUCAAAAACGCAACUAGAGCAGAAAUUAGAGAAUCUUUGGACUUUGUGUUUUCUUACGACGAUGAUGAUCUGGGAAAGCAGUGCAGAAAAUAUAGUUAUUAUUUUUGCCUGAUGGGUUUUCGAUCUACAACAAAGUAUAGCAAUCGGUUGCCGCAACAAAAUGACACUGAAGAAUUUUACAAAAUCGUCAACCGCUACAACCAUGAGAUCAAUUGGUACUCUUUUAGAGAUGAGGACAAGGAAAACAAUGGCUGUUGCUCCUACCAGGUCAACCAAUACUUGAUUAAUGGUCAGAAAAACGGUCUCUCGCCAAUGGAAUUCAUUCACAAGAUGUUCCAUUUGAACGAACG